GGGCAAGCUGUCUUGGAUAAAGGGCUGAGAGGAGGAAGUCCAAGCCCCUCAGUGUCUGAGGUCGGGACUGAAAAUCUACUUAGUGCCAGCCCCUGUGCCGACAGCCCGGUCUGCGUUAUGCAGCCGGAUGUGCUCAGUGGUGCUGGGAAAACACUGUUUAUUAGGAUGCCACCUCGCACAUGACACGGCACAGCGUCUCCCGGGGACUUAUCCAAAGGCACCCCGCCGACAGGAGGCAGGACAGGGUUUGGUCCUCUCCUCCUCGCUGGUUGUUCCCCAUUGGAUUCAGGGAGCCAGACCACCCUGCCCAUUUCUGGGAGGACCCCUUACCCGUUAACCUGACGUCCCUCAGUAGGCUUUGUGUGCGUCAUGUGACCUGCCCCGGCCACGCUGAUUGGCCAAAGCAAGGGGCAUCUACCCGAGGGUGAGCUGCUCGUUGGUCGGCCCGGGACUCCUGGGGUCCCUCCGGGAAGGAUGAACCGGACCCACUCAGAUGUCGUCCGGGUGAAUGUGCGGCCACACAGAGCGACAUGGUCACAUAGUGACUUUGGCCAAUGUCAGGGAGCAGCGGGGUCUGUCACACUGCAUCCAUAGGAACUCAACCCCUUUCAGAGAUGAAAGUAGCUGUGCAUCGGAGAGGUCACCAAGUGACCCCAGAGGUCUUUCAGGAUGCGUGCGGGGUGUCUGAUGUGAGCUCAGCCACUCUCCAGGAGAGCUGUCCUCCACUCGGUGACCCAGCGAUCCCAGUCCAUGUCUACCCUGUAGCUCUACAAUGUCACAGUGACCCCAUGAUCCCCACAGCAGCAAAAGAAUGGGCACAAAGAACUCACAGCUGUUCUUGCUUGGAUCACUCACUCUCUGGAAAGCGCAGGCUCUGCAUGAUUGCAAGGAAACUGGAGCGAGUAUGUAAAUAUCAGGAAUCUCUAGCUCACUGAUGGGCUUUGAAGAAGGAAGCUGCUGUGGUGUGGGCUACCGUGUUGGGAAGCCUAUAUGGCAAGGGCAUGUGGAUGGUUUCUCAGAGCUGAAGAAGGCCUCUGACCAAUAGCCAGCAAAAAAACUGAAGCCCUCAGUCCUACAACCACAAGGAACUGAAUUCUGCCAACAGCCUAAGUGAUCUUAGAUCCCUCCCCAGUGGAGCCUCGGAUGAGACCACAGCCCCAGCGGACACUUUGAUGGCAGCCUUAUGAGACCCACGCGGAGGCCCUGGCUAAGCCAGGCCCAGACUCCUGAUCCACAGAAACUGUGUGAUAAUAAAACAUAUGUUGUUUUAAGCCACUAAACCAAUGGUAACUUUU